rnacentral:siRNA from 1 species
UUACAUAUAAACUAGGUU